GAGUUUGAUCCUGGCUCAGGAUGAACGCUGGCGGCGUGCUUAACACAUGCAAGUCGAGCGGAGCACAUCGUUGGAAUCCUUCGGGAGGAAGAGGAUGUGGCUUAGCGGCGGACGGGUGAGUAACGCGUGGACAACCUGCCCUAUGCAGGGGGAUAACAUCCGGAAACGGGUGCUAAUACCGCAUAAGCGCACAGUACCGCAUGGUACAGUGUGAAAAGCUGAGGCGGCAUAGGAUGGGUCCGCGUUGGAUUAGGCAGUUGGCGGGGUAACGGCCCACCAAACCGACGAUCCAUAGCCGGCCUGGGAGGGUGGACGGCCACAUUGGGACUGAGACACGGCCCAGACUCCUACGGGAGGCAGCAGUGGGGAAUAUUGCACAAUGGGGGGAACCCUGAUGCAGCGACGCCGCGUGGGUGAGGAAGUACUUCGGUAUGUAAAGCCCUAUCAGCAGGGAAGAAAAUGACGGUACCUGACUAAGAAGCCCCGGCUAACUACGUGCCAGCA
rnacentral:rRNA from 1 species